UACGUAGGUGGCAAGCGUUAUCCGGAAUUAUUGGGCGUAAAGAGUGAGCAGGCGGUUGAUUAAGUCUGAGGUUAAAGCGUGGGGCUCAACCCCAUAAAGCCUUGGAAACUGAUCGACUAGAGUACGGGAGAAGUGAAGGGAACUCCAUGUGUAGCGGUGAAAUGCGUAGAUAUAUGGAAGAACACCAGUGGCGAAGGCGCUUCACUAGCCCGAAACUGACGCUCAGUCACGAAAGCGUGGGUAGC
rnacentral:rRNA from 1 species